UUUUUCCUGGGGUACCUAUCGUGUUGCUCCCCCCUGGAUGUCCCCAUGGCGUUCAGCACAAUCUUGCACUUUACACUGCAGCAUGCAAAUAUCAGGCGGCCUCGGCUGGUCUCUGCUGCGAACGCUGUGACACCAGGAGCCAACCCCUGCAUUUUAAUUAGAAUUCGUUUGCAUCUGCUUUCUCCCGCGUCUCCUCAGCUCUCAGAAAGGCACAACGCCUGCUGUGGCUGCACGGUGCGUGUAGGGAAAGACGCACAACACGCAGCCGUGGUCUCUUAUCGGGCGGCGGCGCUGGCGGCCGCAUCCUCCUGGGACCUGCCAUCGGGAACAGCCGAGCCGGCUGCUGGGUGAGGGAGAUAAGGCGAGGAACGAGUCCCCGAUGGCUCCUGCUGCUUCAGGCCUGCUAUCUACAUCAUCACAGCCCCCUGCUCUGUGUACGCCGCGUGUCUGGCUCUCCGUCCAUACAUCACCUGCGUGGCAUAUCGGCAGCAUGGCAAAAUGUUCCAUCCUCAGAGCUCCGAGCCCGCUUGGCUUCGUGUUGCUGAACGGCUAUCUCUGGAGUGCAUCUCGGAGCUCUAUUGCCAUUCCUGAUAGCAAACUGGUGGGGAGGAGAGAGGGAAGCACGGCUGUUAUGCAGGUAAAUACAUUUAAUGUUGGUGAUGAUGCAAGCAGAAAUUCCUCAUCCAUGGUGAUGUAGAGGGCAGCUGGGAACAUCUGAAUAUAGCUCCAUGGGAUGCUGUUACUGCCUGCACGCUUCUCUGCUGCUGUAGCGCCGACUGUGCAGCCACGUGGUUUGUGAGGAUCACAAAAACCAGCUGCUGGCAAGUCACCUUCAGUAGGUUUCAGGGUAAACAGCACAUCAGGAUGAAUAAGGUCAUUCAUGAUGCUCAAAGAAUACUGGAGGAUGUUGCUUUUAGGGCUCUGUAGGGAUUUCAGAAAGGUGAAGAUGGGUCUGCCUUGACCUGGCCGUGCGCAGUCAGCAGCCACCCUUAGCAGUGUGCUUUUCCUCCUGGUGCUGUUGGGGCACAGCAGCAGCCGAGGCAGGUUCACAGCUCUGUGUGCGCACUGCCUGUGCUCAGGUCUGUGCGGAACCAAAGCAAGGUGAGACUCAGGCUCAAGCCUCACACUUUUACAGGGGGAGUAGAUUUGAAACUGGCCCUGACUUUGCAAGCAGACGGGGAUCUCGCGGAUUUCACCCCAGGGCCGGUGACUUCUUGUUCUGCUCGGACACCCCACGCCCCUCGUUGGUAACACUGCUGUCAUCUUGGCUGCCUCCUGCUCCAUGGGGCUGUGGCAGCAUCUUCCCAAACAGGUCACCUUAUAUUUCAGUUCAUGUCAACUGUGUGUAAGGUGAUGCUGACAUCCAGAAACAUUAGGUUAAAAUGAUGCUUUUUGGUGCUAUCACUAGGAUGCAGGUUUGGAACCUGCCACAUUUUGUGUUUGUGUGUUCUCACACUGCAUUGUUGCUCACUGAAAAUCAAAGGAGACUGCCUGACAGUAAAAGGAACUGAAGAAGAGAGAGAGAUACAGAUUUGAUCAUAAAACACAACUUUAAUUCUUUUAAAGCCCUGAAUGAGACACAGGAAAGGCAAAUAUUUGCUCUGCUGCUGACCUUCUCAGGCAAAUAGCGCGUCAGGUCCUGGCGGGGCCGGAGGCAUUGCGCUGCAGGGAAGUGAGAAAUCAGGGGGCAGCCGCUGAUUGCUCAGGGGAGCCCCAGUGAAUUCCACAAAUCCCAGUGUGUGGAGAAGCCCAGUGUGGAUGGACGUGCCCAAAUAGCAGCUUGGGUUCUGAGUCUCACCUGUCCCAGUGAGCACGUCCUCUCCUUGCACCACUUGGAGACCCCUGGGUCUGCUGGCACCUCCACUCCUAGGUAACCCUUCCUUAUCAGGUCUCCUUAGAUCUCGACCACAAAUAUGCUCAAGAGGAUUUAACGGCAGCGUGGACGGAUGUAGCACCAGAUGCACAGUGGAUGGGGGGAGCUGGGUGCUGCAGGUGGGCCGCACACCGUUAAAAAGGGCUUCAAAGGUGUUUACAAAGCGGAAUUGCAAACCAUCAGAGAAAUGCAUAGCUUUGGGAGAAUAAGUUCUCUUGCACAAUGAAUGAAACAGUUGCUCUCUUACUCAGGUUUACUACAGGCUUUAUAAAGCUUAGUAGGAAAGCAUUCCUGUGUGUUACUAGCUCUUCCAGUAACAGAACCAGUCUAUUUUUGUCCAGCUACUCAUCACUGCUGCUGAAGAGAGCACAACUUGUUUUCACUGUGUUUAGAGUGGAAAUUCACACACAUUUCCAACAUACCAAUAAUUUUCCACAUGCGAGCCGUCCUGUCUCUGCUACAGAGAAUUAUCUUUAAUGUUUUAAGCUGAGGACUGACUGUUCAAGGAAUU
ensembl:lncRNA